CAGUCGCCACGGUAAUACGUAGGGUGCAGGCGUUAAUCGGAAUUACUGGGCGUAAAGCGUGCGUAGGCGGUUCGUUAAGUCUGUUGUGAAAGCCCCGGGCUCAACCUGGGAAUGGCAAUGGAUACUGGCGAGCUAGAGUGUGUCAGAGGAUGGUGGGAUUCCCGGUGUAGCGGUGAAAUGCGUAGAGAUCGGGAGGAACAUCAGUGGCGAAGGCGGCCAUCUGGGACAACACUGACGCUGAGGCACGAAAGCGUGGGGAGCAAACAGGAUUAGAUACCCGCGUAGUCCCUGUCUCUUAUAC
rnacentral:rRNA from 1 species